CAGAAUAACGUGGAGGGCUCAUUAAAACGCACUUUUUUGGGCUCCACUUCUACAGUUGUUGCUUCAGCAGCCCUGGGGUGGGCCCUGGGAAUCUGCAUUUCUAACAAGUUCCCAGGUGCCGCUCCUGGUGCCGGUUGGACUCAACUUUGAGAACCACUGGUCUGAGGUCAAGGAUGGUCUUUGAAAUCACAGAUAGAUCUUUAUUAAUUUGUUAUUUAUCAAGCCAUUAACCUCUCUGAAUCUCAGUUUCUUCAUCUGUAAAAUGGGGUUAAUGACAACCUGGUCAGACUGUUUGAAGAUUCAGCAGAUGAAGUCUGUGAAAAUUCCUGGAACAGAUGAUCAACAAAACAAUACGUCAAGCCCUGAUUUGUAGCCUUUGCCAGUUUCAGUGGCGUAAAUACUCCCAUUGCUAUGUAUUUAGGCCGUUCCUCUGACUUGCGACUUAGGCCAUUGUUCAUCAGUGUCGGGGAAGGACGUCCAGAUGGGAUAUUCCUGGCUCCCAGUGGCUCGCCCUUGCUUCCAAUCUCUGUUUUCCAAAUUGGGACUAUCAGGUAAAGAUUUAAGUGUGAGAAACAGCGUGAUGUCAGCAGAGGGGAGAAAUGAAACUAGAUGUAAUGAAAGUAACUAGGCCCUUGACUUCUUGGCUGAUGCCUGCCCGUGUUGGGGAGGACCGUCUGCUCUGCUAGAAUCUGUGCAUGCUCACCCUCCACCCAAGCCGCUCUAGGUGUCUACUCCUGCUCCCCCUUCAGAGUUCUCAACUGUCCUGGGGGAAGCCUCCGUUGACCCCUGAAGUUAGGUCAGAGGCCCUGUUCUGUGAAUCCCUUGACCCUGGACUCCUCUGGCGUCAUCGCAAAGGAAGAUUAGCCCUGAGCUUACUGCUGCCAAUCCUCCUCUUUUUGUUGAGGAAGACUGGCCCUGAGCUAACAUCUGUGCCCAUCUUCCUCUACUUUAUAUGUGGGACGCCUACCACAGCAUGGCUUGCCAAGCCGUGCCAUGUCUGCACCCAGGAUCCGAACCGGCGAACCCGGGGCUGCCGAAGUGGAACAUGUGCACUUAACCACUGCGCCACCGGGCUGGCCCCUGUGGAGCAUAUUUUUAAGUGCUUAUUUGCUAUCUGUGUAUCUUCUUUGGUGAGGUGGCUAUUGAGGUCUUUGACUCAUUUUUAAAUUGGAUUGUUUGUUUUCUGG
rnacentral:lncRNA from 1 species